UACAGAGGUCUCAAGCGUUGUUCGGAUUCAUUGGGCGUAAAGGGUGCGUAGGCGGCGCGGUAAGUCGGGUGUGAAAUCUCGGAGCUUAACUCCGAAACUGCAUUCGAUACUGCCGUGCUUGAGGACUGGAGAGGAGACUGGAAUUUACGGUGUAGCGGUGAAAUGCGUAGAUAUCAGGAAGAACACCCGUGGCGAAGGCGGCUCUCUGGGACGGUACUGACGGCUGAGACGCGAAAGCGUGGGGAGCGAACAGGG
rnacentral:rRNA from 1 species